rnacentral:misc_RNA from 1 species
UCUUUCUCAAUAUGUGAAACCCCUUACCAAUUUUCUUGAAAAACUUUCUGAUGGGGAGAAGGUGAUUUUGGUGGGGCAUGAUUUUGGUGGUGCUUGUAUAUCAUAUGCAAUGGAGUUGUUUCCCCAUAAAACAUCAAAGGCUAUUUUUGUUGCUGCUGCAAUGCUGACUAAUGAACAUAUCAAGAGUGCUCUGUCCAUUAG